GUGUUCACUUAGGCAACACACAUACUAAAAUGGGAAUGAUACACAGAUUAGCAUGGCCUCUGUGCAAGGAUGACAUGCAAAUUCAUGAAGUGUUCCAUAUUUUU